GACGAACGCUGGCGGCGUGCUUAACACAUGCAAGUCGAACGGAAAGGCCCUGCUUUUGUGGGGUGCUCGAGUGGCGAACGGGUGAGUAACACGUGAGUAACCUGCCCUUGACUUUGGGAUAACUUCAGGAAACUGGGGCUAAUACCAGAUAGGAGCUCCUGCUGCAUGGUGGGGGUUGGAAAGUCUCGGCGGUUGGGGAUGGACUCGCGGCUUAUCAGCUUGUUGGUGGGGUAGUGGCUUACCAAGGCUUUGACGGGUAGCCGGCCUGAGAGGGUGACCGGCCACAUUGGGACUGAGAUACGGCCCAGACUCCUACGGGAGGCAGCAGUGGGGAAUAUUGCACAAUGGGCGGAAGCCUGAUGCAGCAACGCCGCGUGCGGGAUGACGGCCUUCGGGUUGUAAACCGCUUUCGCCUGUGACGAAGCGUGAGUGACGGUAAUGGGUAAAGAAGCACCGGCUAACUACGUG
rnacentral:rRNA from 1 species